UACGGAGGGUGCAAGCGUUGUUCGGAAUCAUUGGGCGUAAAGCGCGUGUAGGCGGCUUGGCAAGUCAGUUGUGAAAGCCCGGGGCCCAACCCCGGAACUGCAUCUGAAACUGCUUGGCUCGAGUCCCGGAGAGGAAGGCAGAAUUCCCGGUGUAGGGGUGAAAUCCGUAGAUAUCGGGAGGAAUACCAGCGGCGAAGGCGGCCUUCUGGACGGUGACUGACGCUGAGACGCGAAAGCGUGGGUAGCAAACAGG
rnacentral:rRNA from 1 species